rnacentral:lncRNA from 12 species
GUUAUUUUGUCCUACUGGCACAGAGAAAAGCAAAUCCAGGAUAUUGCUGUUAAGAAGAAAUCAGAGUUUACCAGAAGCCUUUUAAAACUACCCUUCAAAUAAUCUAGACAGAACAUUAACUAUCUGUAAAGCUUUUCUCUACAGUGACAGAAACAGAGAAGCAUAGAUCAUCAAGACCUGCUUGAGGCAAACCAAUCUGUGUCUUCCAGAGGUGGAGUGAGAAAUAAAUCUUCUACAAUCAUUCUAUGUAAUGUGGAAGGUUUGAGAUCUAUGCAAUUGGCUCCAUGGUUUUGAGUCUGCAGGAAUAUCAGUGUGUGGUUAUGAGAACUAAGCUCUAUGUUGUCCUUCAAUGAACAAGAUGUGACUGUGGUCCUGAUUUAAAGAAUUAAAA